rnacentral:ncRNA from 1 species
AGCAUUGAGCGCGGGAGCCGCCUAUGGCGAGCUGAGAGGGCUGAUACCGACCGAACACGUGAUCCGGAUAAUACCGGCGUACGGAGCUUGAACUAUCCGACA